UGGGAUUCGGCUGAGUGGCGCAGCGCCUGCCUGGCAAGCACAAAGUCCUGAGUUCAAUUCUCUGUCCCAA
rnacentral:tRNA from 1 species